GAUGAACGCUGGCGGCGUGCCUAAUACAUGCAAGUCGAGCGAACGGACGAGAAGCUUGCUUCUCUGAUGUUAGCGGCGGACGGGUGAGUAACACGUGGAUAACCUACCUAUAAGACUGGGAUAACUUCGGGAAACCGGAGCUAAUACCGGAUGAUAUUUUGAACCGCAUGGUUCAAAAGUGAAAGACGGUCUUGCUGUCACUUAUAGAUGGAUCCGCGCUGCAUUAGCUAGUUGGUAAGGUAACGGCUUACCAAGGCAACGAUGCAUAGCCGACCUGAGAGGGUGAUCGGCCACACUAGAACUGAGAUACGGUCCAGACUCCUACGGGAGGCAGCAGUAGGGAAUCUUCCGCAAUGGGCGAAAGCCUGACGGAGCAACGCCGCGUGGGUGAUGAAGGUCUUCGGAUCGUAAAACUCUGUUAUUAGGGAAGAACAUAUGUGUAAGUAACUGUGCACAUCUUGACGGUACCUAAUCAGAAAGCCACGGCUAACUACGUG
rnacentral:rRNA from 1 species